GAUGAACGCUGGCGGCGUGCCUAAUACAUGCAAGUCGAGCGAACGGACGAGAAGCUUGCUUCUCUGAUGUUAGCGGCGGACGGGUGAGUAACACGUGGAUAACCUACCUAUAAGACUGGGAUAACUUCGGGAAACCGGAGCUAAUACCGGAUAAUAUUUUGAACCGCAUGGUUCAAAAGUGAAAGACGGUCUUGCUGUCACUUAUAGAUGGAUCCGCGCUGCAUUAGCUAGUUGGUAAGGUAACGGCUUACCAAGGCAACGAUGCAUAGCCGACCUGAGAGGGGGAGCGGCGAGGCUGGAAGGGAGACGCGGUCAAGAGGCCGACGGGAGGGAGCAGUAGGGAAGGGGGCGCAAUGGGGGGAAGCCUGACGGAGCGGGGGGGCGUGAGUGAGGAAGGUCUUGGGAGCGGAAAGCGCUGUUAGUAGGGAAGAACAGAUGUGUAAGGAACGGUGCAGAGAGUGACGGUACCGGGUCAGGAAGCCACGGCUAACUACGUG
rnacentral:rRNA from 1 species